rnacentral:misc_RNA from 1 species
CUGCCAGACAGCUCCUAGGCGAACCCGCAGCUCGAGGUCUUCUGUUGGUCCCCCACCCACCCACCGAGGCCGCAGGGUGUUCAGACCCCUCUCCUGUCCUCUUCUUCGUGUUGGCGCAUUUUCUUUGUCCAUCCUUCGUAGGCGCGCGUCUGGUGGCGGGUGUGCGGAGCUAUAGCCCACUUGCUUCCCUCCCACUUUCCCCCUCUCAUUGCAAGGGCACCACUGUACGCAACGUACACAAGAGUACCGGAGCGCAGAUACGCAUGAUGGCCUCCUUCACACCACUCGACAACUUCAAGAGCCGCAGCCGUGGCGUGGUGCCGACAGGCAUCGUGAUCGACAAGUCCUGCCGCGUGUACGUGACGCAGAUCCCGCUGGAGCGCAUUGAGCGAGACGGCGCGAGUGCGAUGAAGUCCGAGUUUGAGGUCUACGGCCCCCUGGAGUCGUACAAGAUGUUCACCGACCGCUCCGGCCGCUUCAUUGGCAGUGCCCUGUGCACUUACCGUAACCCGGCAGACGCAUCCAUGGCUGUCUACUGCAUGGAUGGCGUAGAGGUGGAAGGGUCGACGCUGCACGUGGAGCCAGCGAAGGAGCACGGCGUUGUGCUUCUCUCUUCGGGUAGCAGCGGUGGCGGCAACGGGCAGCACCGCGAUCACAGCCGCGGUUUCCUACGCGACACGCAGCGGCAGUGGGGACGCGGCGGCCGCGGGGGUGCUGGCCUGCUUGGCGCUGGGCGCGGCAGCGGUUACGCGACAACCGGGACACAAGAUGCGAGCAACGCGUCAGAGUUGGACCUCCGCGCAGAGGAGUUGGGACUGGCUGCCAGGGACGGUGUCUCCCCUUCCGCAGACAAUGGAAAGUGGAGCCAUGACAAGUACGAAAUGAUGGCCGAAGGCAAGGACAUGGACGAGGUUCUUGGGAUCCGUCGCCCACACCACCAUCGCGGCGGCGCGCGUGGUCGUGGUGGACGCGUAGGGCAGCGCUACGGCGAGCGUGUGGAUGUAGCGUUCGAGAGUUACAUCCGCGAGCGCGACGCCAACGACAAGAAUGCGCCGCCGCCACCGUCUCCAUCUUCCACGGCUGCCGCCUUGUCGUUGAGCAUCCAGGCGGACGUGCAGCCGACCCCGGCGACGGAGCCAGCGGCAGAGGGGAGCGUGGCGGGGACGAUGGCAGAAAUGGCCUUUGGCGCCGACGAGAGCGAUGCUCCUGUUAUAGGAACGGAGCUGGGCGCGCUUCCGGAGGAUGCCUAGAGAGCAGGUAAUGCGCCGCCAACUCGCGCGCUUGCCGGUGUGCCUAAGCCGCUGGUGCGGCCGACGUCCUUGCGCGAACUAAAGAGUAUCCUGUUGGCCGUGAGCUCCAAAGGAGGGGGCGCCAACUCGUUUCGGCGGAUGAAGGCACUCUUAUUUUGUCUGCAUGAGUGCGUUUUGUUCGUGCUUGCGCGUCUCUUGGUGUGCGAGCAAGCAUAUGUGCGUAAACGCCGGAAACUCGGGUAGGCACCGUGGCUGGCGCUGGUGGCUCGAGUGCAGCACGCGUGUACGUGUGCGCGCGUCGAUCGUAGGCCUUGCGGUGAGGUGCACCGCGGACGCGCUUCAUCUCUGCCUUUUAGCAGUGCAUGUGCUCCAGAGAGGGGUCCCGCACCCCACCCCCACCCUCUCUUUUCAGCGGACGCAGGGCAAGAGGGUCGGCGUAGAUUAUCAAUCCCCCGCCCCGCUCGCGGGAGCCUCUGUCACUUGUGUCGCCCCCUCCCCCGCAAGGCCAGCGCAUCCGAAAUCCACCUCUUCUCUCCUCUCCUCGAACCUCUUUUGGGCCCGCUUCCCACCGUGCUGGCCGGCCACCGCACGCAUGCACACCGACGCCCCGCCACACGGACACCGCAACCGGGCAAAG